rnacentral:rRNA from 1 species
CCUACGGGGGGCAGCAGUGGGGAAUAUUGCACAAUGGGGGAAACCCUGAUGCAGCGACGUCGCGUGAGUGAAGAAGUAUUUCGGUAUGUAAAGCUCUAUCAGCAGGGAAGAAAAUGACGGUACCUGUUUAAGAAGCCCCGGCUAACUACGUGCCAGCAGCCGCGGCAAUACGUAGGGGGCAAGCGUUAUCCGGAUUUACUGGGUGUUAAGGGAGCGUAGACGGCAGCACAAGUCUGGAGUGAAAUGCCGGGGCUUAACCCCGGAACUGCUUUGGAAACUGGGCAGCUAGAGUGCAGGAGAGGUAAGUGGAAUGCGUAGUGUAGCGCUGAAAUGCGUAGAUAUUAGGAGGAACACCAGUGGCGAAGGCGGCUUACUGGACUGUAACUGACGUUGAGGCUCGAAAGCGUGGGGAGCAAACAGGAUUAGAUACCCCUGUAGUC